CCGCGGUAAUACGGAGGGUGCAAGCGUUAUCCGGAAUCACUGGGCGUAAAGGGCGCGUAGGCGGUCUGUUAAGUCCGAUGUUAAAUCCCGGGGCUCAACCCCGGAUAAGCGUUGGAUACUGGCAGGCUAGACGGUUGGAGAGGCGAGUGGAAUUACCAGUGUAGCGGUGGAAUGCGUAGAUACUGGUAGGAACACCCAUUGCGAAGGCAGCUCGCUGGACAACACGUGACGCUGAGGCGCGAAAGUGUGGGGAGCAAACC
rnacentral:rRNA from 1 species